rnacentral:rRNA from 1 species
AUUGGACGCUGGCGGAAUGCUUUACACAUGCAAGUCGAACGGCAGCACGGGUGCUUGCACCUGGUGGCGAGUGGCGAACGGGUGAGUAAUGCACCGGAACGUAUCCAAUAAUGGGGGAUAACGCACCGAAAGGUGUGCUAAUACCGCAUACGCCCUGAGGGGGAAAGCGGGGGAUCGUAAGACCUCGCGUUAAUGGAGCGGCCGAUGCCGGAUUAGCUAGUUGGUGAGGUAAAGGCUCACCAAGGCGACGAUCCGUAGCUGGUCUGAGAGGACGACCAGCCACACUGGAACUGAGACACGGUCCAGACUCCUACGGGAGGCAGCAGUGGGGAAUUUUGGACAAUGGGCGCAAGCCUGAUCCAGCCAUUCCGCGUGAGUGAAGAAGGCCUC